rnacentral:rRNA from 1 species
UACGUAGGGCGCAAGCGUUGUCCGGAAUUAUUGUGCGUAAAGAGCUCGUAGGCGGCUUGUCACGUCGGGUGUGAAAGACCGGGGCUUAACCCCGGUUCUGCAUUCGAUACGGGCUGGCUAGAGUGUGGUAGGGGAGAUCGGAAUUCCUGGUGUAGCGGUGAAAUGCGCAGAUAUCAGGAGGAACACCGGUGGCGAAGGCGGAUCUCUGGGCCAUUACUGACGCUGAGGAGCGAAAGCGUGGGGAGCGAACAGG